rnacentral:misc_RNA from 1 species
AACGAGGCCGACCUGCGGCUGAGUUACCUGCGGAGGGAUCAUUACUGAGGAGGGUCCAUGGCCCGAUCUCCAACCCUUUGAUAAAAACACCAUGUUGCUUUGGCAGGCCCGCCCGUUGGGGCCGCGGGGGAUCGCCGGUCCCUAGCCCGUGCCUGCCGGUAGCCUUCACAAAACUCUCAAAAUGUUGUCGUCUGAGAUGAUUAGAAUAAUAAAACUUUUAGCAACGGAUCUCAGAUCGGA